UUCAGUCUAAUGUAGUUAUUUUAGUUGAGCUAUGGUAUUAUUGUUAAUGUUGGGUUGAUGUUAAAUGCGUAAAUUUUUUGUUCUUGUUUGUUGUGUUUAUCAAUAGGAAAGGGAGAGGAGGGUGGAAAUAAUGUGCUCAUUUCGUGUAAAUGAGGAAAAAUAAAAAUGACCUAAAAAAUUCAAAAUGAGCAAAAAUAAAUUGUUCAUUUGGUCUAAUUGAGUAAAUGAGCAAUGUUUUGGAAACGAUUUUUUCAUGAAAUGCCCCCGAGAUUUCACGAAACGCACCUAAUACACCUGUGUGUUUCGAAAAACAUAAUAUACCCCUAUUUAAACUUACUGUUCAUAAAAUGCAUUUGGACUUAACGUCUGUUAGUCCUCCGUUAGCAUGAGUUUACGUUUUUGCCCGUAAGUGUUCUCUCUCCUCCGACCCACCCAACCCUCAUCGUUGAACCAACACCACUCCUUAACUCUGUCACCACCUUCGCCCCCACUACAGUCGCCAACCUCCGACCAGGGUUCGACUUCCUCGGUUGCACCGUCAAUCGCAUCGGUGACCCGGUCAACUUUCCAUCUCCUCCACUUCUGUUAGCCGCUAACUAGCCUUGAUUAAUAUAUUCAUUUUAAUUUUCCUUUAUUUUCUUUCCCCACUCCCAUUAUAUUCUCUUUCCUUUGAUAAUAUUUCUGGGAAAUAGCUUGUCAUGGAGCUUCCAUGGUGGUCUUAGAUAUUAUACCCCUGCCACCAUCCAUAUAUAUACCAACCUGAAAGCAUUGCAAGUUACAUCUCCCUUCUCUCUCAAAUCCAAAUCACGAACCCAUUGAAAAUCCAGAUUCAUAAGAGAGAAAAUGGUGACCAGAUUAGACGAGACAAAAUUGAAGAGAUUAGAGUCGCAAGUUGAGCACGGUGGAGGAGGUGCAUAGCAGUACCUUUGUGUGAUCCGGAAGCUCAAAUUCGACGCAUUGAUAAGAACAAUGGAGUGCAUCGGAGAAGAUGGGUCAAGAAAAGAGAAGGAAGGGAGGAGAGAAAAGAAAAAAAAAUGGCACUUAGGGUAUUUGGUGCAAAUAAGUUUUAAAAUAGGUGUAUAUUGUACAAUAAGUUUAUCAAUAGGUGUAUUUAGUGAAUUAUAAACAUGACUUAAAGGAGGACUAACGGAAUGUCAAAAUCAGGGGUAUUUUAUAAACAGUAAGUUUAAAUAGGGGUAUAUUAUGAUUUUUGAAA